AUUGAACGCUGGCGGCGUGCCUAACACAUGCAAGUCGAGCGGUAACAGGUGUAGCAAUACAUGCUGACGAGCGGCGGACGGGUGAGUAACGCUUGGGAAUCUGCCUGUUAGUGGGGGACAACCCGGGGAAACGUCGGGCUAAUACCGCAUACGCACUACGGUGGAAAGCCGGGGACCGCAAGGCCUGGCGCUAACAGAUGAGCCCAAGUCGGAUUAGCUAGUUGGUAGGGAACGGCCUACCAAGGCGACGAUCCGUAACUGGUCUGAGAGGACGACCAGUCACACCGGAACUGAGACACGGUCCGGACUCCUACGGGAGGGCAGCAGUGGGGAAUAUUGGACAAUGGGCGAAAGCCUGAUCCAGCGACGCCGCGUGGGUGAAGAAGGCCUGCGGGUUGUAAAGCCCUUUCAGUGGGGAAGAAAAGCCUCGAGUUAAUACCUCGGGGUCUUGACGUAACCCAUGAAGAAGCACCGGCUAACUCUGUGCCAGCCGCCGCCGUAAC
rnacentral:rRNA from 1 species